rnacentral:misc_RNA from 1 species
AAGGAUCAUUAUCAAAUACUUUAAGAAGUCUAAACAACUUCUUACUGUCCACCCUUUGUCUUUUGCGUACUGUAUGUUUCCUCGGUGGGUUCGCCCGCCGAUAGGACAUUUAAAACCCUUUGUAGUUGCAAUCAGCGUCAGAAAAAAACUAUAAUAGUUACAACUUUCAACAACGGAUCUCUUGGUUCUG